GACCAGCCUGAGCCUAUUAAUCAGCCUAAGGUAAGUGCUGCUUCCAUCUCAUAUUUUAAUCUCCUCCUUUCUGCUGUGUUAAAGAAAUUAUAUCUGUGGCUUAAAUAACAUUUAGAAAUGAAAUUGUUUGCCAAGUGAAUGAGACAAUCAAACCAGUCGUUUAGAGUUGGGGAUUAAAUAUGAAUCUCAUUUACCUUUAUUAUCCGUGCAUUUCUCGCUAAUCAUCAUAACUCAGACUAUUUAAACUUCAUUGAAAAUGUAGCCAGUAAUGGAGUGCCAUUAAUAUUUGUUUGUGAUGAUUCCAGCCUGAGCUGAGCAAAUCUUAAGAAAGCCAGCCCAUCUUCUCUUGUGUUUGGGAAGCAGGGAGAAGCCAAGUUGGAGGAUCUGGCCUGCCCUGCUUCAGUGGCUUCAUGCACAUUCAGAUUACAAUUGCCAACUUUCUUCCCAAGCAUCUCUUCCUUGCAAAAGGGUAUCAGUAGAACGAAGCUUUCCAAGAGAAAAAUGCUCCAAUGCCUGCCUCCAUGUUGAAGUAUCUUUAAGAGUCAGCUUUCUAGCAAUAAAUGCCACCAAGCUAGUUAACUGAGACCACCAACUGCAGAAGGAUUUCCAGUUGGAAAUUUCAUGGAGGCAGACUCCUCCCGCCCCCACCUUGAGCCCUUUUAAUCUCAUCACCCAUUCCCUCCAAUGUGGUAGGAAGAGACUGGGUGGCAAGUGUAUUUAAGACUCCAAGGAAAAGGGCUGUAAAGUCAACCUUGGUAACUUAACUGAAACAGUAUAUGUGUAAAUCCAUCGAAAAUCCCUGGCCUUUUACAACUCCUGUCCCAAUGGAAAUCAGAUCAUAGGACUAUUUACAAGAGACCACGAUUCAUUUGGAUAAAGACCCAUGACAGCACAGCCCAGGAUUAUUUGAAAUUUUAGUAACCUAAGCUUUAAAAAUAUUCUAAAAGCAAAAUAAUGAGGGGCAGGUAAUUGCCACGAGCUAAUUACUUAUGAUAUUUCAUAUACAUAAUCGGCGAACAAUCUCCAUAAAUGUCAGCUCAUGGCACUUUGGCAAUCACUUGUAAUUUUUAUUGUUUAAAGAAAUGUCAACAUUUCCAUUUUCCCCAACUUCAGUUAACCUGGGCCCUACCCACGGUUAAAUGGGCCCCCGGAAGAGCGCUUCACCCGGCCGUUUCAGAGCGUUCCACAAUUUCAUAGCUGAGCCAGUCCCUGGUUUACCUACAGUUUUGCUACUAAAAGAAAACAAAAACAAAAACAAAAAAACCAAGCAUGAAAUGCGUACAGAGGAGUUUAAAUGUUAAAAUGCAAGAUGAUAGAUGCGUUCCUGAUUUUCUGAACAAACAGAUUUUACUCACAUUUCAGUUAGUCAUUUCAUAAGCGUGGGAGAAAUUUUCAGGAGAUCCACAAAUUUGUUUUGUUGGUUUGUUCUUUUUUCAGUUCUUUUUUAGCCACUUGGAAAUCAUUACUGUGAACAAAGGAACUCCACCAAAAGACUCCUUAACAGUCCAAAGAGAAGAAAGAGGGCAGAAGGUUAUGGUCAGGGUGGACAAGACCAGACCCCAAGUGGAUCUGAAGCCCACCAGCACAGCCAAGGUGUUUCCAAUUGCUCACUGCCUUCUCUGCACUCUGCCUCCAGCACCAGCG
rnacentral:lncRNA from 1 species